rnacentral:rRNA from 1 species
UACGUAGGGGGCUAGCGUUGCUCGGAAUUACUGGGCGUAAAGCGCACGUAGGCGGCUUGUUGCGUCGGAUGUGAAAUCUCAGGGCUCAACUCUGACAUUGCAUUCGAUACGGGCAGGCUAGAGUUCGGUAGGGGAGAGUGGAAUUCCUGGUGUAGCGGUGAAAUGCGCAGAUAUCAGGAGGAACACCGGUGGCGAAGGCGGGUCUCUGGGCCGAUACUGACGCUGAGGAGCGAAAGCGUGGGGAGCGAACAGG